ensembl:misc_RNA Metazoa_SRP Metazoan signal recognition particle RNA
GCUGGGUGUAGUGGUCUGCUUGUAGUUCCAGCUACUUGGGAGGCUGAGGGAGGAGGAUCACUUGAGUCCAGCAAUUCUGGGUUGUAGUGUGCUAUGCCUAUCAGUUGUCUGCACUAAGUUUGUCAUCAAUUUCAUGUCCUCCUGGGAAUAGGAGACCAACAGGUUCCCUAAGAAGAGGUGAACCAGCCUAAGUUGGAAACGGAGCAAGUCAAAACUGCUGUACUGGUCAGUAGUGGGAUCUCACGCGUAAAGAGCUACUACAUUCCAACCUGGGCAACAUAGUGAGAUCCUGUCUCUA